rnacentral:rRNA from 1 species
UACGUAGGGUGCAAGCGUUAAUCGGAAUUACUGGGCGUAAAGCGUGCGCAGGCGGCUUUGCAAGACAGAUGUGAAAUCCCCGGGCUUAACCUGGGAACUGCAUUUGUGACUGCAUGGCUGGAGUGCGGCAGAGGGGAAUGGAAUUCCGCGUGUAGCAGUGAAAUGCGUAGAUAUGCGGAGGAACACCGAUGGCGAAGGCAAUCCCCUGGGCCUGCACUGACGCUCAUGCACGAAAGCGUGGGGAGCAAACAGG